CCACCUGACCCCAUGCCGAACUCAGAAGUGAAACGCCGUAGCGCCGAUGGUAGUGUGGGGUCUCCCCAUGCGAGAGUAGGGAACUGCCAGAC
rnacentral:rRNA from 8 species